UGGGGAAUUUUGGACAAUGGGCGAAAGCCUGAUCCAGCAAUGCCGCGUGUGUGAAGAAGGCCUUCGGGUUGUAAAGCACUUUUGUCCGGAAAGAAAUCCUUGGCUCUAAUACAGUCGGGGGAUGACGGUACCGGAAGAAUAAGCACCGGCUAACUACGUGCCAGCAGCCGCGGUAAUACGUAGGGUGCAAGCGUUAAUCGGAAUUACUGGGCGUAAAGCGUGCGCAGGCGGUUUGCUAAGACCGAUGUGAAAUCCCCGGGCUCAACCUGGGAACUGCAUUGGUGACUGGCAGGCUAGAGUAUGGCAGAGGGGGGUAGAAUUCCACGUGUAGCAGUGAAAUGCGUAGAGAUGUGGAGGAAUACCGAUGGCGAAGGCAGCCCCCUGGGCCAAUACUGACGCUCAUGCACGAAAGCGUGGGGAGCAAACAGGAUUAGAUACCCUGGUAGUCCACGCCCUAAACGAUGUCAACUAGUUGUUGGGGAUUCAUUUCCUUAGUAACGUAGCUAACGCGUGAAGUUGACCGCCUGGGGAGUACGGUCGCAAGAUUAAAACUCAAAUGGAAUUGACGGGGUCAUAGCUGUUUCC
rnacentral:rRNA from 1 species